UCAUCUACGAGGAAACCGCGGUGUGC
rnacentral:piRNA from 1 species